GGAAUUUGUAUCACGUUUAUAGAUAAUAACUGAGAAGCUAAAAUAUUAAGCAUUUUAAUACCUAAGAUCACAUAUAAGCUCCAAACUGUAACUCCAAAGCCCACAUUAAUUUGGUGGGCCUGGCUUUCAGAAAUAAUGACAGUUUUUUUUUAAAGAAGAGAAGAAUUAAAAAAUUAUCCUGACUAGUUAGUAAUAAUCUUGAGAAGUUUUGAUUUGAAAUCCAGAUUUCUUAUCCACUGAUUAGACAAUAAAAUGCAUACGUAUUGAUAAUGUGUAUGUAACUGGUAGCUGUACGAACAGGGAAGUUUAUACCUGUCUUUGAAAGGAAUCAGAGUGCUCACCGUGUUGCCUGGUGUCUCUAGGUUGGCUGGAGAGACCACAUAGAAUUUGUCAGAAACAGACCUCUUGAAAUCUACCAAUGGCUGGGCCAAGUUAUUACUUCCAUCAAAAUGGAAAGUAAUGAAAUACAUAGCUAAUCCAGAUGUUAAUGCCGUGAAAUGCUGAUUGUUGACAGAAUCUUUGUAGAGAAGCAGCCCCAGAAUGUUGUGCUGCUACAGGAAGCUACGUGAAAUAAAGCCUUAUUUAGAUCUGAGGGAGACUCAACUGACAGGUUAAGAGCUGUCAGAUACUCAUAAAUAUUCACUAAUGGCAAGGAUAUAAGGUUGAGGGGAGGCCAUUGACAGACUGAGGUAAUUGUGGAGAUCUGAGAAGAGAAAAGAUAUGGACUAGUCAUCGGAGAGAGCGAGGAACAAUGCAUCUCAGACAGCUGUCAGUGUGGCGAGAAGAACUCUGCUUUCAGGCAUGAAAUCCUUGAAGUGUGGACCCGAAAGAGACCUCAGAAAUUACCUGCUUGUGUCACCCGCGUGACAC
rnacentral:lncRNA from 1 species